ACGAACGCUGGCGGCUGCUUAACACAUGCAAGUCGAACGGAGUGGCGCACGGGUGAGUAACGCGUGAGCAACCUGCCUAUGACAGUGGGAUAGCCUCGGGAAACCGGGAUUAAUACCGCAUAGUCAUAGAUGGGCUCGCGUCUGAUUAGCUAGUUGGUGAGAUAACAGCUCACCAAGGCGACGAUCAGUAGCCGGUCUGAGAGGAUGAACGGAGACAUGGGAGAGGAGACACGGUCCAAACUCCUACGGGAGGCAGCAGUGGGGAAUAGUGCAAAAUGGGGGAAAUCCUGAUGCAGCGACGACGCGUGAACGAAGAAGGUAGUCGUAUCGUAAAGUUCUGUCCUAUGGGAAGCAGUACCAUAGAAGAAAGCUCCGGCUAAAUACGUGCCAGCAGCCGCGGUAAUAC
rnacentral:rRNA from 1 species